rnacentral:lncRNA from 1 species
CUGCUGGAUGCACUAGGUGCAUCACAGCACAGAUCUGCAAUAAUCUUUAAGAUGAAAAUUAGAAUAUACAGUACAACUUACUUAUAAGUUAUAUUUCUUUCUCUCUUCUACGAACAUGAAAUAUUUCAAACAUAGAUAUAACAGCUGUGAGAGUGAGUAAGACUAAGUAAAAAGUAAUUUAUAAUAAAAAGCUGAGAUAAUGAGGCAUAAACAAAAUCCUAAAGAGACAAAGACUCAAUCAUCAAAUUCAACCAAAAAAAAGUGUUGUGUUCCAAUGUGAAUAAUAAACUGAAGAAAAAAAAGUUAAAAAGCUUAAGUAAUUAUGAUUCGUCAAAUAUAGAAAAAGCUUUAAAAGCAAUAGAAGACACAGAGCUGUCCUUGAGAAAAGCAGCUGCUGUUUAUGGAGUACCGAUUGCUACCUUUGUUAGAUGAAAAAGUAUUAGUCCUGAGAAGGCAAAAAUUAGAACUGAGCCAGCGACAGUAUUAUCUUUAAAAGAAGAGGAUGUUAUUGUUCAGUUGUUAUUCUACAGAGCAGCAAUAGGGUCACCUGUGACGAAAACUGACUUAUUAAAGAUGUAUUACAAUUUUUUAUUAUCUUAGACAAAAUCAUUCUAAUGUAAUAAACUGUGAAUAAAAUAAUUUAACUAAUGAUGGACAACUUUUUACGGUUAUAUAUGAAUCUAGUCAAGUUAGUCUUCAAGAAUCAUUAACUGAUAGCAAUAAUGUAAUACGGUGCCCUUCUAAAGACUUUAGUGAACACAGCCUAAUUGAUCAAACUAUCUCUACUGAUGAUACAAACUUAGAUAUGUCUGUACAGCUCAGAUAGAUUACAACAGAGCUCACAAAUAUUCAUCCUACAAAUCCUAUAAACAACAAAAUUUAUCAAUUAGAAUUUAUGGAAGAAAAUUUGGAUCCUACGCCUGCAAUGAUUGACGAACAUCGUUUUAUUCAUAAGUUUUCAUCAAUAACUGUUGAUAACGAUAAAUCUCCCGAAAAACCUCUGAAAGAAAUAUUCAAUUUGCCGUUGGAUUAUUUACUGAAGAAAAAAAUAAUAAAAAUUGAAAAAACAGGCAAGUCAAAGUUACCAUCUGUGGGGAUCUCUGAUUAAUGGUACAAACAAUUAAAAACA